UACGAAGGGUGCAAACGUUGCUCGGAAUCAUUGGGCGUAAAGCGCACGUAGGCGGCCUCAUAAGUCGGAUGUGAAAUCCCUCGGCUCAACCGAGGACGUGCAUACGAAACUGCGAGGCUCGAGUAUGGAAGAGGGUCGCGGAAUUCCCGGUGUAGAGGUGAAAUUCGUAGAUAUCGGGAGGAACACCAGUGGCGAAGGCGGCGACCUGGGCCAAUACUGACGCUGAGGUGCGAAAGCGUGGGGAGCGAACAGG
rnacentral:rRNA from 1 species